UUUGUUGGAGAGUUUGAUCCUGGCUCAGGACGAACGCUGGCGGCGUGCUUAACACAUGCAAGUCGAACGGACCGCUACCGCUUGCGGUGGUUGGUUAGUGGCGAACGGGUGAGUAACACGUGAGUAAUCUGCCCCAGACUUUGGGAUAAGCACUCGAAGGGGUGUGUAAUACUGGUUAUUCUGCAUGGGUCGCAUGGUCUGUGUGGGAAAGGAUUUUUCUGGUUUGGGAUGGGCUCGCGGCUUAUCAGCUUGUUGGUGGGGUAAUGGCUUACCAAGGCUUUGACGGGUAGCCGGCCUGAGAGGGUGACCGGUCACAUUGGGACUGAGAUACGGCCCAGACUCCUACGGGAGGCAGCAGUGGGGAAUAUUGCACAAUGGGCGAAAGCCUGAUGCAGCGACGCCGCGUGAGGGAUGAAGGCCUUCGGGUUGUAAACCUUUUUCGCCCUUGAACAAGCCGCGUUUUGUCGUGGUGAGGGUAUGGGGUAAAGAAGCACCGGCUAACUACGUGCCAGCAGCCGCGGUAAUACGUAGGGUGCGAGCGUUGUCCGGAAUUAUUGGGCGUAAAGGGCUUGUAGGUGGCGUGUCGCGUCUGUCGUGAAAUGUGCUGGCUUAACUGGUGCAGUGCGGUGGGUACGGGCAUGCUUGAGUGUGGUAGGGGAGAUUGGAAUUCCUGGUGUAGCGGUGGAAUGCGCAGAUAUCAGGAAGAACACCGGUGGCGAAGGCGGAUCUCUGGGCCAUUACUGACGCUGAGGAGCGAAAGCAUGGGGAGCGAACAGGAUUAGAUACCCUGGUAGUCCAUGCUGUAAACGUUGGGCACUAGGUGUGGGGACUCGUUAGGGUUUCUGCGCCGUAGCUAACGCAUUAAGUGCCCCGCCUGGGGAGUACGGCCGCAAGGCUAAAACUCAAAGGAAUUGACGGGGGCCCGCACAAGCGGCGGAGCAUGCGGAUUAAUUCGACGCAACGCGAAGAACCUUACCAAGGCUUGACAUAUAGCAGAAGCCUCUAGAGAUAGAGGUCUCUUUGGACACUGUUAUACAGGUGGUGCAUGGUUGUCGUCAGCUCGUGUCGUGAGAUGUUGGGUUAAGUCCCGCAACGAGCGCAACCCUUGUCCUAUGUUGCCAGCACGUUAUGGUGGGGACUCAUGGGAGACUGCCGGGGUUAACUCGGAGGAAGGUGGGGAUGACGUCAAAUCAUCAUGCCCCUUAUGUCUUGGGCUUCACGCAUGCUACAAUGGUCAGUACAGAGGGUUGCGAUACCGUGAGGUGGAGCGAAUCCCUUAAAGCUGGUCUCAGUUCGGAUCGAAGUCUGCAACUCGACUUCGUGAAGGUGGAGUCGCUAGUAAUCGCAGAUCAGCUACGCUGCGGUGAAUACGUUCUCGGGCCUUGUACACACCGCCCGUCACGUCACGAAAGUUGGUAACACCCGAAGCCCAUGGCCUAACCCUUUUGGGGGGGAGUGGUCGAAGGUGGGACUGGCGAUUGGGACGAAGUCGUAACAAGGUAGCCGUACCGGAAGGUGUGGCUGGAUCACCUCCUUUCUAAGGAG
rnacentral:rRNA from 1 species